UACGAAGGGGGCUAGCGUUGCUCGGAAUGACUGGGCGUAAAGAGCUCGUAGGCGGCUUGUCACGUCGGGUGUGAAAGCCCGGGGCUUAACCCCGGGUCUGCAUUCGAUACGGGCUGGCUAGAGUGUGGUAGGGGAGAUCGGAAUUCCUGGUGUAGCGGUGAAAUGCGCAGAUAUCAGGAGGAACACCGGUGGCGAAGGCGGAUCUCUGGGCCAUUACUGACGCUGAGGAGCGAAAGCGUGGGGAGCGAACAGG
rnacentral:rRNA from 1 species